AAGAAAAGUGAGGUCGGUUAAAGAAGCUUUCAAGGUACUUUCUCACAAAGACCGUUUGGACGACGAAAAUCUGGUGACACUUCUCACUGAAGUUGAGAUGAUCGUUAAUUCCCAUCCACUAACGUUUGUGCCCUUGGAAUCCCCUGAACACCAAGUCAUCACACCAAAUAGUUUUCUAUUAAUGAGCUCGGAUGGAUCAAACACGUCGUCGAGAGUUCCGGUGAAUGAAGAAUUGUCACUCCGAACAAACUGGAAGUUGAUGCAGCAUCUCUUAAAUCAGUUCUGGAAACGUUGGAUCCAAGCUUAUCUACCUACGAUCGCUAGAAGAACGAAGUGGUUCGAUGAAGUUCGUCCGUUACAAGUCGAUGACCUAGUCGUAAUUGUGGAUGAACAAGUAAGGAAUGGAUGGCUGAGAGGAAAGGUGAUCAAGAUCUAUCCGGGCCCUGACGGCCAGGUGCGCAAGGUCGAUGUUCAGACCAACUCAGGAGUGAUGCAGCGGCCUGCUGUCAAGGUGGCGCUUCUGGAUAUAAUGGAAAGUGGUAAAGCCGAUUAAAGGAGAGGCAUUACGGGCGGGGCUGUUACGUUAAACGAGAAAUAGGCCCUUUGUACAACUGCAGUACGUCAGCAUCAGAAGCGACGAGUUUGUUUUGGUAAACAAGGAAGAGAAAAGAUUGGUUUACCUCGUGCGACAGAUUUGUAGUAGAUCCCCAAUUUCCUAAAAAAUAGUUAAAUACGUUAAGCAUAAAUCAUUAACAGAGUACACAGUGUUAGAUUAUAGGCAUUAGCUUUGAGAUGUUGCACUCUAGCAGUGGUACUUGCAAUAAUGAUUAAUGUAUUUCAAAACUGUAUGCCGAACAAUGACAAUGUCCAAUCUUCUGUAAACUACUACAAUUGAGAGACAGUGCACAUAACCUCAUUCGGCGUCGCUUCCCUAGAGCAUAAACAGAUUAUCCCUCGAAGAAGAAAACUAACUGUAAGUUUCAUCAUUUCCAUUUAAUGUAUUGCUAAAUAAAAUAUCAUUUUAGUUUGAGUCACGCAAAAACGGACUUCAAAAAGGU